UCACGCCUGAUUUGUGUCCCUGGUCUCUCUCGCCCUUUUCUCUCAGUUCUCUCUUCUUCCUCACUCUUCCUUAUCACUCCCUUUGACUCUCUCUCCCUGCACACCCUCAUCUCCCUCAUCAUCAAUCACCACAACAACAACAAAACAUCAUCACCUUCACCCUUGUGUUCUCAAAAACGAAGAAAGAACACCCCAAACCCCUCUCUUCCAUUCGGCCGGUACUGUUCAUCAUCUUCUCCAUCGUGUUUCGUAUUUUUCCGACGUUGAAAAUAACUCGGAGUAGCCUUUCCAAAUUUUCCGGGAGCACCGCCCCUUUGGAGGCAAUUUCCGGCCAAACCACUGUGAGUUGGAUAUCGUGCAAGGUAUUAAUCUCUUCAUCUCGCUGAGUACUACAACUUUCCUUUUUGUUUCACCCAAUUUCGUUGAGUAUCGAAGAAGUUAUGGGCGUUUGAAGUUUGCCCAGAAACCGGCCAAAACCUUGGCCUGAAAAUGGAUCAACCCGACCCAUUAACCCAUGCUCCAACCCAAUUACCCAAGCCCAAGUCUGAAAUCCAAACCCAGGCCUUUGGGCCGGAUCACUAAGCCCAAGCCCAUUUCUUUUUAGUUUUGUUUUAUUUUUAUUCCUAUUUAAAUUAAAGGUUUUUGGGCUGUUUCCUUUAGGGCAUUCGGCCCAUUAACUCUAAACCCAUUUAUUUAAACCCUAAAACCCAUUAGAUCCAAACCUUUUAAAACCCAUUGACAAACACAACGGUAACAUUAGGUUGGUCUUCGUUGUAUUCAUAAAACUUGUUUGUAUUUUCGCUUUAACAUUAGAUGUGGGGUGAAUGGAGUUUGAAAGAUAACGUAGUUAUUACGCGGCUUGAAGCAUUACAAAAUUUCUCCAACAAUAAUUGUAGAUACUCAAAUCAUUGCAAUCUGGGUUUGAUCAUCAUUGUUCAUUCCUAUCCAGCAACCAUUGAAGCAAGUUUUCAAGGGGAUUUUGUACUACCUCUAAAGCUAGCUACUGGUACAGUAGAUUGUAAGCUGGUAAAUCAUGUAUUCUUUGAGUAUCUUCUAAAGACAACUCCCUUUCCAA